CGCUUCGUUAACUGCACCGCAUCUUUGAAGGUUUGUUUGGUUGGGUAUGCUGGGUGCGCUCCUCCUGCAGUUAUGCCCGUUUGUUUUCCCCCCUCAAGCAUUCUUCCGGCGUCUUUCUUUCCAGGGUCGACGAGCGUUUCCACUCAAAAAAGACCUUGGGUGUCUAGAAUGCUUGGUAGGAGGAGCUUCUUGAGGUCACGAAUAGAGGAUGAGCGGGGACCGGAUUAGGUAGGUUAGAGAGCCAAGUCUUCCGCUCCUCCCGCGCCACGGACCAGGUCUAGAGCACCGGCGGUACCGCCUCUUCAAGCGCCUCAGUCGCUUGUUACAUUAGUAGCUUCUCCACUUGUUCCCGGACUUGGGACCUUACUAUCAGGACGAACACCAACGAUGGUGGGACGACGAAAAGAAACAACCCUUGAUACGCGACAUGGACAUACGCGUCUUCUGCGAGGGAGGCUUCUUCUUCUUCGGUCAGAGGUUCUUCUUCGAGUUCUCCCUUUUCGACUUCGUUCCCCAAAGACGUGGUCCCCUCACUUCUCUAGGUAGCUAAAGCGCACAGCUAACGAAAUACGACCCGAGGAGAAAUGGACUAUUUUUUAUAUAUGGUCGACCUCGACGCCACAACUCGAUGACAAAUACAUCUUUGGAACAGAACUCACCAUGUAGCAGCCAUAACCUGUGGAAUAAAUUCGCUUGACUAUUUGGAAUCAGACUUAACUCGACGAGGACCAAUAUCAAAAAUAUUUAAAUUUUGAAACGACCCCUAGUAGACACCGUUUGAACGCUUUGGACACAACGGCAAACGUCAAACCAUACAACACAACGUAACACCAAACCACAGAGAGCCCAAAAAAUUCUUCAAAAGUUUUAAAGUACGACGGUUUCUAUGAAGUAGUCAGACGGUUUAAUUUUAUCAUACAACU
rnacentral:rRNA from 1 species